AACGCUAGCUACAGGCUUAACACAUGCAAGUCGAGGGGCAGCAUGAUCUUAGCUUGCUAAGAUUGAUGGCGACCGGCGCACGGGUGCGUAACGCGUAUCCAACUUGCCCUGUACUCGGGGAUAGCCUUCCGAAAGGGAGAUUAAUACCCGAUACGUAUAUUUAUCGCAUGAUUUAUAUAUGAAAGAUUUAUCGGUACAGGAUAGGGAUGCGUUCCAUUAGGCAGUUGGCGGGGUAACGGCCCACCAAACCUACGAUGGAUAGGGGUUCUGAGAGGAAGGUCCCCCACAUUGGAACUGAGACACGGUCCAAACUCCUACGGGAGGCAGCAGUGAGGAAUAUUGGUCAAUGGGCGAGAGCCUGAACCAGCCAAGUAGCGUGAGGGAUGACUGCCCUAUGGGUUGUAAACCUCUUUUAUAAAGGAAUAAAGUUGGGUACGUGUUACCCAUUUGUAUGUACUUUAUGAAUAAGCAUCGGCUAACUCCGUGCCAGCAGCCGCGGUAAUACGGAGGAUGCGAGCGUUAUCCGGAUUUAUUGGGUUUAAAGGGUGCGUAGGCGGAUGAUUAAGUCAGCGUGUGAAAGUUUGCGGCUCAACCGUAAAAUUGCAGUUGAUACUGGUUGUCUUGAGUGUACAUAAGGUAGGCGGAAUUCGUGGUGUAGCGGUGAAAUGCUUAGAUAUCACGAAGAACUCCGAUUG
rnacentral:rRNA from 1 species